CUAAUUCUUAGUAUUGUUAGAAAGAGUGACUGCCAUGGUACAAUCUGCUACUGUGCAAACUCCUCAGAAGCUGCACAGAAAAUACAGUAAAUAAUACAGGCAUCCAGCGAGCACUGGACCCAGCACCACUCCAACUCCAGCAGCAGCCCAGCGUUUGAUCAGGAUUAAGAGGACUCCUGUUUUGAUGACUGUGGUGAUAAAUUUGGUGGCAUGAUGAGUGGCUGACAUAAGACCUAUAUGAAUAUGGACUUCUGAAACUCAUAAUAAAGAAGGAAAAUGCAGACUCAAUUGGCUGACAAGUUUCUUUACCUAUUCAAAUGGUUAUUUUUGGAGUCUAAUUGUGGAGGAAAAGGUUUGAGAAGAAUCCAAGAAACUGUGAGACCUGGUUCGGAAUUCUGCUGUACACAGUCAAGGUACCUUCGCCAGAAUCCCAGGAGCAUCUGGAGACAUGGUGGAUGAAUC
ensembl:lncRNA